CCUACGGGAGGCAGCAGUGAGGAAUUUUCCGCAAUGGACGAAAGUCUGACGGAGCAACGCCGCGUGCAGGAUGACGGCCUUCGGGUUGUAAACUGCUUUUACCAGGGAAGAGAAUGGACGGUACCUGGUGAAUAAGCCCCGGCUAACUACGUGCCAGCAGCCGCGGUAAU
rnacentral:rRNA from 1 species